rnacentral:lncRNA from 1 species
UUCGCUGUGGUCUUAAUAGCGGGAAAACAAUCCCUGCGUCUCAAUGUUCACACUAUCCAUCCUAAAUAGUAUGUGAGAUUAGAAUAAGUGUGUCCCAAAUCAUAGUAUGCUGAAAAGAGUAUGCCAAAAGUCCCCGGAUGGUCAUGCUUGUUUUGUUUCUCUCUGCAGAUAUGUGAGUAACUCAUAUCAAGGCAAAGUUAAAAGGUAAAAAACUGUAUUAUUUAGAGAUGUUUAAGAUAUAUAUUGUGCUAAAUUUCCUACAGCUUCGACCUUAUUUUAUUUAUUCUCAGGGAGGUAAAGUAAGUCAGAUCUGUUCUAUCUCAUAAUCAUCUGAGUUCAUCUUCACAAAACCGGUCACAGAAGACUUCUCCGUGGUCUGUUCUUAGCUAUAAAUCAAUGCCAGGGGAGGCAGACUUGUGUUAUAUACUACAAGUCAGUUUAUUUAUUACAAUUAGUAAAUAUUCUACAACUACUGUACAAGUAUUAAAUAAAGUAUAAAUCUGAGUAAGUUCUUUGCGUCUGAGCAAUCAGUAUUUAUCGUGCACAGAUCACGAGCUGACUCUCCUCCACCUGUCUCUUAUUCCCUCACUCCCAUAUAUGUCUCUGCUUUUCUGUCCUUGGUCUUGAGUAGAUUGUUUUGUUCUUGCUGGUGUUCUGUGUAUGAGGUCAAGCAUCGUUGUCUUACUCUCUGUCAGCUCUCACUAAUACAUGUGUCAACUCUAUGUGCUCUUGAUUAUACAUGUUAUAAACGAUUUCUUAAUAAAUGCUUAAAACAACAAGUGUGCUGUUUUACUUAAUACACCACUUUCUCAAUAAAACAAAUACAAUAAAGUGUGGUGUCUUUCUUAAUAAACCACUUUCUAAAUAAAACAACUCUAGCUGAGACAGUUCCCUUAGUACUGAAUGUAUGAUUUCAUAAAUUAAAUAAUAAUAGCGCGAAUCUCCAGUGAAUGCAGGCAGCACGAGAGGACGCAGAGCGGCACGAGGCCGAUUUGUUUGGAAAACUUUCUGAGUGCGCGCGGAGCGAGGGAACCGAGACAGGGGUAGCUGCAGCCUGGAGCACUGCGCGUGCCGAAAGGUUUCUCAUUGGUGAAAGGAGUUUUACUGUGUUGAACAAUCAGAGCUCACAAGUGCAAGCAUCAGAGCAUCAGGAAGAAGUGAAAUCUGCAGAGACAGAGUUUAUUGAAGGACAGAGAGAACAUGAAGAUCCAGAACCCUGCAGAAUCAAACACACUGAAGAACAAACAGUUUAUUCUUUCACUUUUUAAAUUCUUAGAUUGUUUAUAUUUGAUAUCUUUUAAUUGUAUGUGUUUUUCAGCUCACAAGUGCAAGCAUCAGAGCAUCAGGAAGAAGUGAAAUCUGCAGAGACAGCUUUUAUUGAAGGACAGAGAGAACAUGAAGAUCCAGAACCCUGCAGAAUCAAACACACUGAAGAACAAACAGGUUGCUGUUUAUUCUUCAUCCUUCAGUGAUGAGGCUGAAGAACAUUUAAAGUUAUCAGCAGUUCAUCAGAUUUAGUGUUUGUAGUUGAAAUACCUCAAGAGUUGUUAAAAAAAAAAAAAAAAAAGUUAAAUCAAUCGAUACUCGAAGGUAACAAAAGUAGGGACUAGAAAAGACAAAUGUUACAAAUUAUAUCCUGAGUGUUGUUAAGUAGAAAAAUAUUGGUCAAGUUAAUUAAGUUUAAAAUAGUUAUUAAUUAUCUAAUUAAGUUUUAGUAUAGUAUAUUAGUUAAUAUGAUGUUAUAUUUCUGUAGUUGAUCAAACAUCAAAUAGUUAUCACUACAGAAACCCUGUAUAUACGAUUUGGAUAUAGAUCAUUGAAUCAUUUUGUAAAAGUGUGUGAAAAUUAUUAUAAUGUUGUGUAUCCGUCGUCAACUUUUGCAUCAUAUUUCUACAACUUUUAAAAAAUGUGUUUAUAUUGUAAUUUUUUUACUUUCAUUUUAGAUCCAAUGGAGAAGAAACAUGUCAAAACUGGAGAAAAAUCUCUCAGAGACUGAAAGAGUUUCUUUACUGAAGAGACAAGAAAAGUUUCACCUGCACUCAGUGUGGAAAGAGUUUCACAUGCA